GACGAACGCUGGCGGCGUGCUUAACACAUGCAAGUCGAACGGAAAGGCCCUGCUUUUGUGGGGUGCUCGAGUGGCGAACGGGUGAGUAACACGUGAGUAACCUGCCCUUGACUUUGGGAUAACUUCAGGAAACUGGGGCUAAUACCGGAUAGGAGCUCCUGCUGCAUGGUGGGGGUUGGAAAGUUUCGGCGGUUGGGGAUGGACUCGCGGCUUAUCAGCUUGUUGGUGGGGUAGUGGCUUACCAAGGCUUUGACGGGUAGCCGGCCUGAGAGGGUGACCGGCCACAUUGGGACUGAGAUACGGCCCAGACUCCUACGGGAGGCAGCAGUGGGGAAUAUUGCACAAUGGGCGGAAGCCUGAUGCAGCAACGCCGCGUGCGGGAUGACGGCCUUCGGGUUGUAAACCGCUUUCGCCUGUGACGAAGCGUGAGUGACGGUAAUGGGUAAAGAAGCACCGGCUAACUACGUGCCAGCAGCCGCGGUGAUACGUAGGGUGCGAGCGUUGUCCGGAUUUAUUGGGCGUAAAGGGCUCGUAGGUGGUUGAUCGCGUCGGAAGUGUAAUCUUGGGGCUUAACCCUGAGCGUGCUUUCGAUACGGGUUGACUUGAGGAAGGUAGGGGAGAAUGGAAUUCCUGGUGGAGCGGUGGAAUGCGCAGAUAUCAGGAGGAACACCAGUGGCGAAGGCGGUUCUCUGGGCCUUUCCUGACGCUGAGGAGCGAAAGCGUGGGGAGCGAACAGGCUUAGAUACCCUGGUAGUCCACGCUGUAAACGGUGGGUACUAGGCGUGGGGUCCAUUCCACGGGUUCCGUGCCGUAGCUAACGCUUUAAGUACCCCGCCUGGGGAGUACGGCCGCAAGGCUAAAACUCAAAGGAAUUGACGGGGCCCCGCACAAGCGGCGGAGCAUGCGGAUUAAUUCGAUGCAACGCGUAGAACCUUACCUGGGUUUGACAUGGAUCGGGAGUGCUCAGAGAUGGGUGUGCCUCUUUUGGGGUCGGUUCACAGGUGGUGCAUGGCUGUCGUCAGCUCGUGUCGUGAGAUGUUGGGUUAAGUCCCGCAACGAGCGCAACCCUUGUUCACUGUUGCCAGCACGUUAUGGUGGGGACUCAGUGGAGACCGCCGGGGUCAACUCGGAGGAAGGUGGGGAUGACGUCAAGUCAUCAUGCCCCUUAUGUCCAGGGCUUCACGCAUGCUACAAUGGCUGGUACAGAGAGUGGCGAGCCUGUGAGGGUGAGCGAAUCUCGGAAAGCCGGUCUCAGUUCGGAUUGGGGUCUGCAACUCGACCUCAUGAAGUCGGAGUCGCUAGUAAUCGCAGAUCAGCAACGCUGCGGUGAAUACGUUCCCGGGGCU
rnacentral:rRNA from 1 species